rnacentral:rRNA from 1 species
UACGGGGGGGGCAAGCGUCGUUCGGAAUUACUGGGCGUAAAGGGUUCGUAGGUGGCCAACUAAGUCAGACGUGAAAUCCCUCGGCUCAACCGGGGAACUGCGUCUGAUACUGGUUGGCUUGAGUGCAGGAGAGGAACGCGGAAUUCCAGGUGUAGCGGUGAAAUGCGUAGAUAUCUGGAGGAACACCGGUGGCGAAGGCGGCGUUCUGGACUGCAACUGACACUGAGGAACGAAAGCCAGGGGAGCAAACGGG